rnacentral:lncRNA from 1 species
UAAAUAAUUUAAUAUUAAAAUCAAAUGACUCAAUCGUCAAAAUCAAUGAAUAGAUUUACUUACAAUGACAAAAUCUUAAAUUUUGUGAUACUUUUGGUCACACGUACAACCUCUAUACUAUAUACUGUAUGUUCAUAAAUCACACUUAAACGUCACACUUUUAGAUAUUACAAUUUUUGAACCAUUUGUGACUAGUGUAAUUAUCACUUGAUUUUCUCUUUACAUAUUUUUAAAAGUUCAUCCAACUCUUACAUACAUGUAUAACUGUUAACUCUGAACAAUAGAGUUAUAAUAUACAAUACCAGGUACUAAAUUAUUAUAACAUUAAGAAUAUUACAUAAUACAAUUUAAUUGGUAAUUGAUAUUAAUGUGUAGAUUUGACUUCAGAAAACAGAGACACAAAAUUGUAAGUUUCAAGUAGUGCUCUUAAGAGAUAUGUUGUUUUUUUUUUUACAUUCCUUACAGUUACUUGGUCUGGAAAGAGCAUUGUAUGGUUAAUGUCCUCACGUAAGAAGUAAUCCUACACAAUACAAAAAAAUCCCCCUUCAAUUUCGACAUUAUCUUGACUUCACACAUGGGUGAAUUACUAUUAACCUAUUAAAGAUCCAGAUUAUUCAAUACAUAAAAUUUUCAUGGGAUGUUUAUUUACAAAUGAUGAUAGCACUAUUUAUAUCUUUACAUAUAAAAUCAGUAAAAAAGUAAGAUUAUAUCUGCAAGAUAAAAAAUGAUUUUAUACACAAAUGAUCAUUAUGGCUUUCUGAUAUAUCAACUUCUAACUUAUUUUAACUUCCAGACACAAAUAAUUUGUCAGGUUAUAAGAGGGUACUUAAUUUUCAGCUUGGAUAGGAUAUUUAAUAAAAAUGCUAUUAUAAAUUUAUGAUACAUUUAUCAAAUUUUUGCUAACAUUUAAUAAAUUAUUUUGCUCCCAGUUUUCAAUUGAAAAAAAAGAGAAGAUAAUACAAAUAUUUUCAGAAUUGUGAAUAUGUCUUAUACCUUUACUCAUUAAAAUCUAAUGAUAUUAUAGCACCGCUACAGGUAUUACAACUGAUGCAUAUAAGUAAUAAUUUAAUUUUAGAUG